CCCGGGUCUCCGUCGCUGCUCACGGCUGAUACCCGUGGCUGUGGCGGCGGCGGCAGAGGCAUCCCUACAACCGCCCCGAGUUUUGCAUCGCUCUGCAUAGGAACAGCUUUCAGUCGCCCAUUGAGAAGCUAAAAGGCGCAGACUGGAGAGACGGCAUCCACCAUUAAAGACUCAUUGUUAGCAGCGGGAUUAGUCUUCAUUUGGUCAAAAGAGCAAUGGUGUGCCACUUCUGCAACUUUUGCAUCGUCCACCUCAAUCUCCAGGAAGGCUGCCACCUGCCGCACGGCUCCCGCCAGGUCCUGCAGCAAGAGGAAGAGGAUGUGCUUCUCAUUCCUCAUCUCCCAGAACUUGAGGACAUGCGGCCAAAAGGGUGAAUACAAGACUGGGAAAGUGGAAAUAAUGAGUAUAUCAGAAUGAUCAGAGUUUUAAAAUACUCAUAUAUAAAAGUCAACUGAGAUCUUCUUCCAAGUAAAAAAAAAUGCUGUAAGAGACAAGACUGAGCAGCUGCAAAUUUUUCACUCCCUAGAUUUUUUGUGUAGCAUUUGUAAUUUUAUAACUGACUAUCAUAUGGCAGAUUUUGCUCUCUAUCCAUUAAUUCCCUAAUCAGCUGCUUGAAUUGGUUAAAUGUUGUCCAAAGCUUUUAACCUAUACACAGCUGAAAAGGUCUUUUAGCCUCUUUUUCCUUAUAAUGUAUCAUCUUCUACAACAUUCAUUGAGGUAUACA